rnacentral:rRNA from 1 species
GAUGAACGCUAGCGGCAGGCCUAACACAUGCAAGUCGAGGGAGGAGCCUUCGGGCUUCGACCGGCGUACGGGUGCGUAACGCGUAUACAAUCUGCCUUUCACAUAGGGAUAGCCCGAAGAAAUUUGGAUUAAUACCUAAUGGUAUAUAGAUGUGGCAUCACCUUUAUAUUAAAGCUGAGGCGGUGAAAGAUGAGUAUGCGUUCUAUUAGCUAGUUGGAGAGGUAACGGCUCCCCAGGGCGACGAUAGAUAGGGGUUCUGAGAGGGAUAUCCCCCACACUGGUACUGAGAUACGGACCAGACUCCUACGGGAGGCAGCAGUGAGGAAUAUUGGACAAUGGUCGGAAGACUGAUCCAGCCAUGCCGCGUGCAGGAAGACGACCUUAUGGGUUGUAAACUGCUUUUGCAGGGGAAGAAUAAGGACUACGCGUAGUUUGAUGACGGUACUCUGCGAAUAAGCAUCGGCUAACUCCGUG